rnacentral:rRNA from 1 species
AGAGUUUGAUCCUGGCUCAGGACGAACGCUGGCGGCGUGCCUAAUACAUGCAAGUCGAGCGAGCUUGCCUAGAUGAUUUUAGUGCUUGCACUAAAUGAAACUAGAUACAAGCGAGCGGCGGACGGGUGAGUAACACGUGGGUAACCUGCCCAAGAGACUGGGAUAACACCUGGAAACAGAUGCUAAUACCGGAUAAUAACACUAGACGCAUGUCUAGAGUUUGAAAGAUGGUUCUGCUAUCACUCUUGGAUGGACCUGCGGUGCAUUAGCUAGUUGGUAAGGUAACGGCUUACCAAGGCAAUGAUGCAUAGCCGAGUUGAGAGACUGAUCGGCCACAUUGGGACUGAGACACGGCCCAAACUCCUACGGGAGGCAGCAGUAGGGAAUCUUCCACAAUGGACGAAAGUCUGAUGGAGCAACGCCGCGUGAGUGAAGAAGGGUUUCGGCUCGUAAAGCUCUGUUGGUAGUGAAGAAAGAUAGAGGUAGUAACUGGCCUUUAUUUGACGGUAAUUACUUAGAAAGUCACGGCUAACUACGUGCCAGCAGCCGCGGUAAUACGUAGGUGGCAAGCGUUGUCCGGAUUUAUUGGGCGUAAAGCGAGUGCAGGCGGUUCAAUAAGUCUGAUGUGAAAGCCUUCGGCUCAACCGGAGAAUUGCAUCAGAAACUGUUGAACUUGAGUGCAGAAGAGGAGAGUGGAACUCCAUGUGUAGCGGUGGAAUGCGUAGAUAUAUGGAAGAACACCAGUGGCGAAGGCGGCUCUCUGGUCUGCAACUGACGCUGAGGCUCGAAAGCAUGGGGAGCAAACAGGAUUAGAUACCCUGGUAGUCCACGCCGUAAACGAUGACUACUAGGUGUCGGGAGGCAAAGCCUUUCGGUGCCGCAGCCAACGCAAUAAGUAGUCCACCUGGGGAGUACGUUCGCAAGAAUGAAACUCAAAGGAAUUGACGGGGACCCGCACAAGCGGUGGAGCAUGUGGUUUAAUUCGAAGCAACGCGAAGAACCUUACCUGGCCUUGACAUCCCGGUGACAGCGAAGUAAUGUUCGUUUUCCUUCGGGACACUGGAGACAGGUGGUGCAUGGUUGUCGUCAGCUCGUGUCGUGAGAUGUUGGGUUAAGUCCCGCAACGAGCGCAACCCUUACCUUCAGUAGCCAGCAUUUAGGAUGGGCACUCUGGAGGGACUGCCAGGGACAACCUGGAGGAAGGUGGGGAUGACGUCAAAUCAUCAUGCCCCUUAUGGCCAGGGCUACACACGUGCUACAAUGGCGUAAACAAAGAGAAGCGACCACGCGAGUGUGAGCGAAUCUCAAAAAUAACGUCUCAGUUCGGAUUGUAGUCUGCAACUCGACUACAUGAAGCUGGAAUCGCUAGUAAUCGCAGAUCAGAAUGCUGCGGUGAAUACGUUCCCGGGUCUUGUACUCACCGCCCGUCA